GAUUACAUAGCUCAGUUGGUAGAGUGCUUGCUUGUCAUGCAAGAAGUGCAGCUUUAUUCC
rnacentral:tRNA from 1 species